rnacentral:rRNA from 1 species
UUUUAAAUAGCUGCAGUAUUUUGACUGUACAAAGGUAGCAUAAUCAAUAGUUUUUUAAUUGAAAGCUGGAAUGAAAGAUUUAAUAAGGUAAAUAUUGUCUCAGAAUUAAUAAUAAUAGAAUUUUUUUUUUUGUAAAAAUACUAAAAUAAUUUUAAAAGACGAGAAGACCCUAUAGAUUUUUAUAUAAAAUAUUUAAAAUAUUUUAAAUAAAAUAAAAAUUUUUAAAUAAAAUUUAUAUUUGGKKGGGGUAAUUAUUAAAUUUAUUUAAUUUUAAUUUUAUUAAACAGUAAUUAUUGAUUAAAUGAUCUUUAUAUUUAUAUAUUAUAUAUAUAUAUAUAUAUAAUUUAUAAAUAUAAAAUUAAAAGAAUAAAAUACCUURGGGAUAACAGCGUAAUUUUUUUAGAGAGAUCAUAUUA